rnacentral:tRNA from 1 species
GGGCAGUUAGCUCAGCAGGUUCAGAGCGUCUGGUUUACACCCAGAAGGUCGUGGGUUCGAAUCCCUCACUGCCCA